AGUGAACGCUGGCGGUAGGCCUAACACAUGCAAGUCGAACGGCAGCACAGUAAGAGCUUGCUCUUACGGGUGGCGAGUGGCGGACGGGUGAGGAAUACAUCGGAAUCUACUUUUUCGUGGGGGAUAACGUAGGGAAACUUACGCUAAUACCGCAUACGACCUACGGGUGAAAGCAGGGGAUCUUCGGACCUUGCGCGAUUGAAUGAGCCGAUGUCGGAUUAGCUAGUUGGCGGGGUAAAGGCCCACCAAGGCGACGAUCCGUAGCUGGUCUGAGAGGAUGAUCAGCCACACUGGAACUGAGGCACGGUCCAGACUCCUGCGGGAGGCAGCAGUGGGGAAUAUUGGACAAUGGGCGCAAGCCUGAUCCAGCCAUACCGCGUGGGUGAAGAAGGCCUUCGGGUUGUAAAGCCCUUUUGUUGGGAAAGAAAAGCAGCAGGUUAAUACCCCGCUGUUCUGACGGUACCCAAAGAAUAAGCACCGGCUAACUUCGUG
rnacentral:rRNA from 1 species